UCAACCAUAGUGUGNUCUGGAAACUGUCUGACUUGAGUGCAGAAGGGGAGAGUGGAAUUCCAUGUGUAGCGGUGAAANUGCGUAGAUAUAUGGAGGAACACCAGUGGCGAAAGCGGCUCUCUGGUCUNUCACUGACGCUGAGGCUCGAAAGCGUGGGUAGCGAACAGGAUUAGAUACCCUGGUAGUNCACGCCGUAAACGAUGAGUGCUAGGUGUUAGGCCCUUUCCGGGGCUUAGUGCCGGAGCUAACGCAAUAAGCACUCCGCCUGGGGAGUACGACCGCAAGGUUGAAACUCAAAGGAAUUGACGGGGGCCCGCACAAGCGGUGGAGCAUGUGGUUUAAUUCGAAGCAACGCGAAGAACCUUACCAGGUCUUGACAUCCCGAUGCUAUUCUUAGAGAUAGGAAGUUACUUCGGUACAUCGGAGACAGGUGGUGCAUGGUUGUCGUCAGCUCGUGUCGUGAGAUGUUGGGUUAAGUCCCGCAACGAGCGCAACCCUUAUUGUUAGUUGCCAUCAUUAAGUUGGGCACUCUAGCGAGACUGCCGGUAAUAAACCGGAGGAAGGUGGGGAUGACGUCAAAUCAUCAUGCCCCUUAUGACCUGGGCUACACACGUGCUACAAUGGUCGGUACAACGAGUUGCGAGCCGGUGACGGCAAGCUAAUCUCUGAAAGCCGAUCUCAGUUCGGAUUGGAGGCUGCAACUCGCCUCCAUGAAGUCGGAAUCGCUAGUAAUUGCGGAUCAGCACGCCGCGGUGAAUACGUUCCCGGGCCUUGUACACACCGCCCGUCACACCACGAGAGUUUGUAACACC
rnacentral:rRNA from 1 species